AACUAUCAUCAGACUGUUGGAACAGAGGAGGUGUCUCCUGGUCUCUAACUAUCAGACUGUUGGAACAGAGGAGGUGUCUCCUGGUCUCUAUCUAUCAGACUGUUGGAACAGAGGAGGUGUCUCCUGGUCUCUAUCUAUCAGACUGUUGGAACAGAGGAGGUGUCUCCUGGUCUCUAUCUAUCAGACUGUUGGAACGGAGGAGGUGUCUCCUGGUCUCUAUCUAUCAGACUGUUGGAACAGAGGAGGUGUCUCCUGGUCUCUAACUAUCAGACUGUUGGAACAGAGGAGGUGUCUCCUGGUCUCUAUCUAUCAGACUGUUGGAACAGAGGAGGUGUCUCCUGGUCUCUAACUAUCAGACUGUUGGAACAGAGGAGGUGUCUCCUGGUCUCUAACUAUCAGACUGUUGGAACAGAGGAGGUGUCUCCUGGUCUCUAUCUAUCAGACUGUUGGAACAGAGGAGGUGUCUCCUGGUCUCUAUCUAUCAGACUGUUGGAACGGAGGAGGUGUCUCCUGGUCUCUAACUAUCAGACUGUUGGAACAGAGGAGGUGUCUCCUGGUCUCUAUCUAUCAGACUGUUGGAACAGAGGAGGUGUCUCCUGGUCUCUAUCUAUCAGACUGUUGGAACGGAGGAGGUGUCUCCUGGUCUCUAUCUAUCAGACUGUUGGAACGGAGGAGGUGUUUGGAAACUCUGCACCUGGCUUGAACUCUCUAGCCCCAUCAUGACUCAGUGGAUACACAGACACAUUCUUGAAAGGGAACAUCUAUGCAUGAAUCCUAAAGGGGCUUGAGAGCGUGCUCGUGUGUGUGUGUGUGUGUGUGUGCUCGUGUGUGUGUGUGUGUGUGUGUGUGUCUCCCCCUGUGUGUUGACAUGCCUACAGUAUCCCUGUCACUUUAAAGAAGCCACUAGAACACUGUCCCCCCCCGGCUGGGGCAGGUCGUCUUGCCCAAGCCCUGGCUGGGGCAGGGUGUCUCUAGUCCAACACAGUGUACACCCCAGCAUCUAGUCUAACACAGUGUACACCCCAGCAUCUAGUCCAACACAGUGUACACCACAGCAUCUAGUCCAACACAGUGUACACCACAGCAUCUAGUCUAACACAGUGUACACCACAGCAUCUAGUCCAACACAGUGUACACCACAGCAUCUAGUCCAACACAGUGUACACCACAGCAUCUAGUCCAACACAGUGUACACCACAGCAUCUAGUCUGACAUUGUGUGUGUGUGUGUACUUAUAGCCUCCACUCUACAGUAGAUCAGGACAUUGUGUGUGUGUGUGUGUACUUAUAGCCUCCACUCUACAGUAGAUCAGGACAUUGUGUGUGUGUGUGUGUGUGUGU